UACGUAGGUGGCAAGCGUUAUCCGGAUUUAUUGGGUGUAAAGGGCGUGUAGGCGGGAGCGCAAGUCAGAUGUGAAAACUCAGGGCUCAACCCUGAGCCUGCAUUUGAAACUGUGUUUCUUGAGUGCUGGAGAGGCAAUCGGAAUUCCGUGUGUAGCGGUGAAAUGCGUAGAUAUACGGAGGAACACCAGUGGCGAAGGUGGAUUGCUGGACAGUAACUGACGCUGAGGCGCGAAAGCGUGGGGAGCAAACAGG
rnacentral:rRNA from 1 species